UUUAGCGGCGGCUGUGUGCGGGGCACGCUUUGGCGUGGCCGAAUUCCAUGGGUCGGUUCCUACUCCCGUGCACAGCUGCCACCCGA
rnacentral:antisense_RNA from 1 species